GUUGAUGGAGAUCUCACCCGCACCUCAAACGACCUCAGAUCAACUCCAGAUUUGAGAGGGACUUAUACCAACCUCUUCUCAAGAGAUUUCAGGUCCUGGACCUAGUAUUUGGGUGACUGCAAGAGAGGGAGAGCAGAUCUGGUAGGCGGCUGCAAGGGGGAAGGGGCUAGCGCCUCCCUUCCUUUCUUUCCUUUUAUGGACUGGCGGCAAGAAACCCUAGGGUUUCUUGCUUCUGGGGCAUGGAAGAUGGCUGGAGAGAGAGGGAGAAGAGAGAGAGAGACUUGGGAGAAAGAGUUGUCUAUUUUCUUGGCUUUUUCAAACCUAUACAAGUACAUGUAUAUAUAAACACCGGGUCAAGUGACCCAAACCCAAAACUCCCUUGACAAACUCUAUGAGAGAUUAGGUUAACCCAAGCCCAUGUACACCCAUGAUUCGACCUAAUGUCACCUAUCCUGGGCCCAGCCCUGGCCCAUAAAGAGUUGGUCCCUUGAGGCCCACAUAACCUAGACCUCAAGAACCCGAAAGGCCCACAGCCUUUCAACCUAGGGCCCAACUAGCCCUAGAAUCUCCAUGAAGCCCUCAUGAAUGAUGGAC
rnacentral:lncRNA from 1 species